AGAGUUUGAUCAUGGCUCAGGAUGAACGCUAGCUACAGGCUUAACACAUGCAAGUCGAGGGGCAUCAUGGAGUUUGCUUGCAAACUCUGAUGGCGACCGGCGCACGGGUGAGUAACGCGUAUCCAACCUUCCCUAUACUAGAGAAUAGCCCGGCGAAAGUCGGAUUAAUACUCUAUGUUGUAUUUAGAGGACAUCUGAAGAAUACCAAAGGUUUACCGGUAUAGGAUGGGGAUGCGUCUGAUUAGGUUGUUGGCGGGGUAACGGCCCACCAAGCCGACGAUCAGUAGGGGUUCUUAGAGGAAGGUCCCCCACAUUGGAACUGAGACACGGUCCAAACUCCUACGGGAGGCAGCAGUGAGGAAUAUUGGUCAAUGGGCGAGAGCCUGAACCAGCCAAGUAGCGUGCAGGAUGACGGCCCUAUGGGUUGUAAACUGCUUUUAUGCGGGGAUAAAGUUCACUACGUGUAGUGUUUUGUAGGUACCGCAUGAAUAAGGACCGGCUAAUUCCGUGCCAGCAGCCGCGGUAAUACGGAAGGUCCGGGCGUUAUCCGGAUUUAUUGGGUUUAAAGAGAGCGCAGGCCGGAGGUCAAGCGUGACGUGAAAUGUAGCCGCUCAACGGCUGAACUGCGUCGCGAACUGGCUUUCUUGAGUGAGUUCGAUGUGGGCGGAAUUCGUGGUGUAGCGGUGAAAUGCUUAGAUAUCACGAAGAACUCCGAUUGCGAAGGCAGCCCACAAGGCCUUUACUGACGCUAAAGCUCGAAGGUGCGGGUAUCGAACAGGAUUAGAUACCCUGGUAGUCCGCACGGUAAACGAUGGAUGCCCGCUGUUUGCGAUAUACUGUGAGCGGCCAAGAGAAAUCGUUAAGCAUCCCACCUGGGGAGUACGCCGGCAACGGUGAAACUCAAAGGAAUUGACGGGGGCCCGCACAAGCGGAGGAACAUGUGGUUUAAUUCGAUGAUACGCGAGGAACCUUACCCGGGCUUGAACUGCCGGCGAACGAUACAGAGAUGUUGAGGCCCUUCGGGGCGCCGGUGGAGGUGCUGCAUGGUUGUCGUCAGCUCGUGCCGUGAGGUGUUGGCUUAAGUGCCAUAACGAGCGCAACCCCUAUCCUAUGUUACCAUCAUUGAGUUGGGGACUCAUAGGAGACUGCCAGGGACAACCUGGAGGAAGGCGGGGAUGACGUCAAGUCAUCAUGCCCCUUAUGUCUUGGGCUACACACGUACUACAAUGGUCGGCAACAGAGGGCAGCGAAGCCGCGAGGCGGAGCGAACCCCAAAAACCCGAUCCCAGUUCGGAUCGCAGGCUGCAACCCGCCUGCGUGAAGUCGGAAUCGCUAGUAAUCGCAGGUCAGCAUACUGCGGUGAAUACGUUCCCGGGCCUUGUACACACCGCCCGUCACACCACGAAAGUUGGUAACACCCAAAGCCGGUGGGGUAACCGUAAGGAGCCAGCCGUCUAAGGUGGGGCCGAUGAUUGGGGUGAAGUCGUAACAAGGUAGCCGUA
rnacentral:rRNA from 1 species